UGGGGAAUAUUGGACAAUGGGGGCAACCCUGAUCCAGCAAUGCCGCGUGUGUGAAGAAGGUCUUCGGAUUGUAAAGCACUUUUCGACGGGGACGAUGAUGACGGUACCCGUAGAAGAAGCCCCGGCUAACUUCGUGCCAGCAGCCGCGGUAAUACGAAGGGGGCUAGCGUUGCUCGGAAUGACUGGGCGUAAAGGGCGUGUAGGCGGUUUACACAGUCAGAUGUGAAAUCCCCGGGCUUAACCUGGGAGCUGCAU
rnacentral:rRNA from 1 species